rnacentral:rRNA from 1 species
CCUUAGAGUUUGAUCCUGGCUCAGGAUGAACGCUGGCGGCGUGCCUAAUACAUGCAAGUCGAACGAAUCUCUUUUAGAGAUGAGUGGCGAACGGGUGAGUAAUACAUAGGUAACCUGCCCCUGUGCGGGGGAUAACAGGAGGAAACUCCUGCUAAUACCGCAUAGCCAUGAGCACCGCAUGGAGCUCAUGCCAAAUAUCCUUUCGGGGACAGCGCAGGGAUGGACCUAUGGCGCAUUAGCUAGUUGGCGGGGCAACGGCCCACCAAGGCAACGAUGCGUAGCCGGCCUGAGAGGGCGGACGGCCACAUUGGGACUGAGACACGGCCCAGACUCCUACGGGAGGCAGCAGUAGGGAAUUUUCGGCAAUGGGGGAAACCCUGACCGAGCAACGCCGCGUGAGCGAAGAAGGCCUUCGGGUCGUAAAGCUCUGUUGUAAAGGAAGAACGGCGCAUACAGGAAAUGGUAUGCGAGUGACGGUACUUUACCAGAAAGCCACGGCUAACUACGUGCCAGCAGCCGCGGUAAUACGUAGGUGGCGAGCGUUAUCCGGAAUCAUUGGGCGUAAAGAGGGAGCAGGCGGCCGCAAGGGUCUGUGGUGAAAGACCGAAGCUAAACUUCGGUAAGCCAUGGAAACCGGGCGGCUAGAGUGCGGAAGAGGAUCGUGGAAUUCCAUGUGUAGCGGUGAAAUGCGUAGAUAUAUGGAGGAACACCAGUGGCGAAGGCGACGGUCUGGGCCGCAACUGACGCUCAUUCCCGAAAGCGUGGGGAGCAAAUAGGAUUAGAUACCCUAGUAGUCCACGCCGUAAACGAUGGUCACUAAGUGUCGGGGGUCAAACCCCGGUGCUGCAGUCAACGCAAUAAGUGACCCGCCUGAGUAGUACGUUCGCAAGAAUGAAACUCAAAGGA